GACGAACGCUGGCGGCGUGCUUAACACAUGCAAGUCGAGCGGUAAGGCUCCUUCGGGAGUACACGAGCGGCGAACGGGUGAGUAACACGUGAGCAAUCUGCCCUUCACACGGGGAUAACCCUCGGAAACGAGAGCUAAUACCCGAUACGACCACUUCAGGCAUCUGAUGGUGGUGGAAAGUUCCGGCGGUGAAGGAUGAGCUCGCGGCCUAUCAGCUUGUUGGUGGGGUAACGGCCCACCAAGGCAACGACGGGUAGCCGGCCUGAGAGGGUGACCGGCCACACUGGGACGGAGACACGGCCCAGACGCCUACGGGAGGCAGCAGUGGGGAAUAUUGGACAAUGGGCGAAAGCCUGAUCCAGCAACGCCGCGUGAGGGAUGACGGCCUUCGGGUUGUAAACCUCUUUCAGCAGGGACGAAGCGCAAGUGACGGUACCUGCAGAAGAAGCACCGGCCAACUACGUGCCAGCCGCCGCCGUAA
rnacentral:rRNA from 1 species